GACGAACGCUGGCGGCGUGCCUAAUACAUGCAAGUCGAACGCACUCUCGUUUAGAUUGAAGGAGUUUGCUCCUGAUUGAUAAACAUUUGAGUGAGUGGCGGACGGGUGAGUAAUACGUGGGUAAUCUGCUCUAAAGUGGGGGAUAACAUUUGGAAACAGACGCUAAUACCGCAUAAAACCUAACACCGCAUGGUGUAGGGUUGAAAGAUGGUUUCGGCUAUCACUUUAGGAUGGACCCGCGGUGCAUUAGUUAGUUGGUGAGGUAAAGGCUCACCAAGACCAUGAUGCAUAGCCGACCUGAGAGGGUAAUCGGCCACACUGGGACUGAGACACGGCCCAGACUCCUACGGGAGGCAGCAGUAGGGAAUCUUCCACAAUGGACGAAAGUCUGAUGGAGCAACGCCGCGUGAGUGAAGAAGGUUUUCGGAUCGUAAAACUCUGUUGUUGGAGAAGAAUGUAUCUGAUAGUAACUGAUCAGGUAGUGACGGUAUCCAACCAGAAAGCCACGGCUAACUACGUG
rnacentral:rRNA from 1 species